rnacentral:piRNA from 1 species
UCAGCACUAACAAAUCUGCAUGCAUUUU